GCCCCAUAGUCUGGGAUACCACUUGGAAACAGGUGCUAAUACCGGAUAAGAAAGCGGAUCGCAUGAUCAGCUUUUAAAAGGCGGCGUAAGCUGUCGCUAUGGGAUGGCCCCGCGGUGCAUUAGCUAGUUGGUAAGGCAAAGGCUUACCAAGGCGAUGAUGCAUAGCCGAGUUGAGAGACUGAUCGGCCACAUUGGGACUGAGACACGGCCCAAACUCCUACGGGAGGCAGCAGGC
rnacentral:rRNA from 1 species